GAAAUGCGAUAAGUAAUGUGAAUUGCAGAAUUCCGUGAAUCAUCGAAUCUUUGAACGCACAUUGCGCCCUCUGGUAUUCCGGGGGGCAUGCCUGUCCGAGCGUCAUUGCGAACCCCUCAAGCACGGCUUGUGUGAUGGGCCCUCCGCGUCUUGGUCGUCAAGAUGGGCCCGAAAUGCAGUGGCGGCUUCGCGGUUAUCCGAUCAGCCAGAGCGUAUGGGGACUCUCUCUCUUGUCACACGCCCGCGGCGCGGACCGACGCCUGUCGACCUUUAUUCAUCUUCUCUCGGUUGACCUCGGAUCAGGUAGGGAUACCCGCUGAACUUAAGC
rnacentral:misc_RNA from 1 species